UACGUAGGGACCAAGCGUUGUUCGGAUUUACUGGGCGUAAAGGGCGCGUAGGCGGCAAUUCAAGUCAUCUGUGAAAUCUCCGGGCUUAACCCGGAACGGUCAGAUGAUACUGCUUUGCUAGAGUGCGGAAGGGGCAAUCGGAAUUCUCGGUGUAGCGGUGAAAUGCGUAGAUAUCGGUAGGAACACCAGUGGCGAAGGCGGUCUCCUGGGGCAUUCUUGACGCUGAAGCGCGAAAGCUGGGGGAGCAAACGGG
rnacentral:rRNA from 1 species